AGGCGGCGCCAAUACUGCAAGUCGAGCGGACAGAUGGGAGCUUGCUCCCUGAUGUUAGCGUCCCAUUGGCGGGGUUCCCUAAAAAUGCAAGUCGAGCGGACAGAAGGGAGCUUGCUCCCGGAUGUUAGCGAAAUUGCGGACGGGUGAGUAACACGUGGGUAACCUGCCUGUAAGACUGGGAUAACUCCGGGAAACCGGAGCUAAUACCGGAUAGUUCCUUGAACCGCAUGGUUCAAGGAUGAAAGACGGUUUCGGCUGUCACUUACAGAUGGACCCGCGGCGCAUUAGCUAGUUGGUGAGGUAACGGCUCACCAAGGCGACGAUGCGUAGCCGACCUGAGAGGGUGAUCGGCCACACUGGGACUGAGACACGGCCCAGACUCCUACGGGAGGCAGCAGUAGGGAAUCUUCCGCAAUGGACGAAAGUCUGACGGAGCAACGCCGCGUGAGUGAUGAAGGUUUUCGGAUCGUAAAGCUCUGUUGUUAGGGAAGAACAAGUGCAAGAGUAACUGCUUGCACCUUGACGGUACCUAACCAGAAAGCCACGGCUAACUACGUGCCAGCAGCCGCGGUAAUACGUAGGUGGCAAGCGUUGUCCGGAAUUAUUGGGCGUAAAGGGCUCGCAGGCGGUUUCUUAAGUCUGAUGUGAAAGCCCCCGGCUCAACCGGGGAGGGUCAUUGGAAACUGGGAAACUUGAGUGCAGAAGAGGAGAGUGGAAUUCCACGUGUAAAAAUUUAGUUGGUGAGGUAACGGCUCACCAAGGCGACGAUGCGUAGCCGACCUGAGAGGGUGAUCGGCCACACUGGGACUGAGACACGGCCCAGACUCCUACGGGAGGCUGGUGUGUGUGUAGCGGUGAAAUGCGUAGAGAUGUGGAGGAACACCAGUGAAAAAAUUUAUAUAUAUGCGUGUGUGCGUAUAGUAGUAUUUUUAGGUAGUGCGAAGGCGACUCUCUGGUCUGUAACUGACGCAAUUAUGUGUCGUGCGUGCGUGCGUGCACGUGCGUACGUCGGUGAGGAGCGAAAGCGUGGGGAGCGAACAGGAUUAGAUACCCUGGUAGUCCACGCCGUAAACGAUGAGUGCUAAGUGUUAGGGGGUUUCCGCCCCUUAGUGCUGCAGCUAACGCAUUAAGCACUCCGCCUGGGGAGUACGGUCGCAAGACUGAACUCAAAGGAUUGACGGGGGCCCGCACAAGCGGUGGGGACAGAUGAUUGGGGGAAGUCGUAACAAAGAAGCCAAA
rnacentral:rRNA from 1 species